rnacentral:rRNA from 1 species
AUUGAACGCUGGCGGCAGGCUUAACACAUGCAAGUCGAGCGGGGUGAUGGUGCUUGCACUAUCACUUAGCGGCGGACGGGUGAGUAAUGCUUAGGAAUCUGCCUAUUAGUGGGGGACAAUAUCUCGAAAGGGAUGCUAAUACCGCAUACGUCCUACGGGAGAAAGCAGGGGAUCACUUGUGACCUUGCGCUAAUAGAUGAGCCUAAGUCGGAUUAGCUAGUUGGUGGGGUAAAGUCCUACCAAGGCGACGAUCUGUAGCGGGUCUGAGAGGAUGAUCCGCCACCCUGGGACUGAGACACGGCCCAGACUCCUACGGGAGGCAGCAGUGGGGAAUAUUGGACAAUGGGGGGAACCCUGAUCCGGCCAUGCCGCGUGUGUGAAGAAGGCCUUAUGGUUGUAAAGCACUUUAAGCGAGGAGGAGGCUCUUUUGGUUAAUACCCAAGAUGAGUGGACGUUACUCGCAGAAUAAGCACCGGCUAACUCUGUGCCAGCCGCCGCUGUAA